CCUACGGGGGGCUGCAGUGGGGAAUUUUGGACAAUGGGCGCAAGCCUGAUCCAGCCAUGCCGCGUGAGUGAAGAAGGCCUUCGGGUUGUAAAGCUCUUUCGGCCGGAACGAAAUCGUCCGGGCUAAUACCUCGGAUGGAUGACGGUACUGGAAGAAGAAGCACCGGCUAACUACGUGCCAGCAGCCGCGGUAAUACGUAGGGUGCAGGCGUUAAUCGGAAUGAGCGGGCGUGGCGCCCGCGCAGGCAGCUGAAAUCCCCGGGCUUAACCUGGGAACUGCGUUUGAAACUGGGAGGCUGGAGUGCGGCAGAGGGGGGUGGAAUUCCACGUGUAGCAGUGAAAUGCGUAGAUAUGUGGAGGAACACCGAUGGCGAAGGCAGCCCCCUGGGCCUGCACUGACGCUCAUGCACGAAAGCGUGGGGAGCAAACAGGAUUAGAUACCCCAGUAGUC
rnacentral:rRNA from 1 species